rnacentral:rRNA from 1 species
CUAGCAUAUCAAUAAGCGGAGGAAAAGAAACCAACAGGGAUUGCCCUAGUAACGGCGAGUGAAGCGGCAACAGCUCAAAUUUGAAAUCUGGCUCUUUCAGAGUCCGAGUUGUAAUUUGCAGAGGGCGCUUUGGCGUUGGCAGCGGUCCAAGUUCCUUGGAACAGGACGUCACAGAGGGUGAGAAUCCCGUACGUGGUCGCUGGCCUUCGCCGUGUAAAGCCCCUUCGACGAGUCGAGUUGUUUGGGAAUGCAGCUCUAAAUGGGAGGUAAAUUUCUUCUAAAGCUAAAUACUGGCCAGAGACCGAUAGCGCACAAGUAGAGUGAUCGAAAGAUGAAAAGCACUUUGGAAAGAGAGUCAAAUAGCACGUGAAAUUGUUGAAAGGGAAGCGCUUGCAGCCAGACUUGCCUGUAGUUGCUCAUCCGGGCUUUUGCCCGGUGCACUCUUCUGCGGGCAGGCCAGCAUCAGUUUGGGCGGUUGGAUAAAGGUCUCUGUCAUGUACCUCUCUUCGGGGAGGCCUUAUAGGGGAGACGUCAUACAACCAGCCUGGACUGAGGUCCGCGCAUUUUGCUAGGAUGCUGGCGUAAUGGCUGUAAGCGGCCCGUCUUGAAACACGGACCAAGGAGUCUAACAUCUAUGCGAGUGUUUGGGUGUCAAGCCCGAACGCGUAAUGAAAGUGAACGGAGGUGGGACCCCAUUAGGGUGCACCAUCGACCGAUCCUGAUGUCUUCGGAUGGAUUUGAGUAAGAGCAUGGCUGUUGGGACCCGAAAGAUGGUGAACUAUGCUUGAAUAGGGUGAAGCCAGAGGAAACUCUGGUGGAGGCUCGCAGCGGUUCUGACGUGCAAAUCGAUCGUCAAAUUUGGGCAUAGGGGCGAAAGACUAAUCGAACUAUGCUAGUAGCUGGUUCUGCGAGCU